UCAAGCUAAUAAGAGCGCAGGGAGGAUGCCUUGGCAUUGGGAGCCGACGAAGGACGUGGUAAGCUGCGAAAAGCUGCGGGGAAUUGCAAGCAAGUAUUGAUCCGCAGAUGUCCGAAUGGAGCAAUCCGUUAAGAGUAAUAUCUUAACAUCAUAUACUGAAUCAAUAGGUAUAUGAGGGGAACCGCCUGAACUGAAACAUCUAAGUAGGGCGAGGAAAAGAAAUCAACCGAGAUUCCGAAAGUAGUGGCGAGCGAAAUCGGAAGAGGCUAAACCGAACUCAGAAAUGAGAUCGGGGUUUAGGACUGCAUUUAGUAUUGAAAUGAGCGAGCAGAAUGCUUUGGGAAAAGCAGCCGAAGAACGUGAGAGCCGUGUAAGCGAAGUGAGUUUCAGCGAGCAGUAUCCAAAGUACCGCGGGGCACGUGAAAUCCCGUGGGAAGAUGGGGGGACCACCCUCCAAGCCUAAAUACUACCCAAUGACCGAUAGCGAAUAGUACUGUGAAGGAAAGGUGAAAAGCACCCCGGGAGGGGAGUGAAAAAGAACCUGAAACCCUGUGCUUACAAGCACUGAGAGCUCGUCAAAGAGUGAUCAGGUACCUAUUGUAGAAUGGUCCGGCGAGUUAUGAUAUGCAGCAAGGUUAAGUACUUAAGGUACGGAGCCGCAGCGAGAGCGAGUCUGAAUAGGGCGUAAAGUUGUAUGUCAUAGACCCGAAACCGAGUGACCUAGCCAUGUCCAGGCUGAAGUGGAGGUAAAACUCCAUGGAGGGCCGAACCGACCUCCGUUGAAAAGGCGGCGGAUGAGGUGUGGCUAGCGGAGAAAUUCCAAUCGAACUCGGAUAUAGCUGGUUCUCUCCGAAAUAGCUUUAGGGCUAGCGUUGCAACAGAUUACCGGAGGUAAAGCACUGAAUAGGCUAGGGGGCGAGAGCUUACUGAACCUUAUCAAACUAAGAAUGCCGGAUAAUUGAUUUGCAGCAGUCAGACAGUGUGAGAUAAGUUUCAUUGUCAAAAGGGAAACAGCCCAGACCCACAGCUAAGGUCCCAAAGUACAUUUGAGUGGAAAAGGAUGUGGGGUUGCAUAGACAACCGGGAUGUUGGCUUAGAAGCAGCCAUACAUUAAAAGAGUGCGUAAUAGCUCACCGGUCGAGUGACCCUGCGCCGAAAAUUCAACGGGGCUAAAAUGUACACCGAAGCUUGGGAUUGCAGUUACUGAACAAAGCAGAUUGAUGAAAAGGUUGAAUCUGGCCGAAGGCAAAAUUCAACUAAAAAGCUAAAAGUCAGUAAGCUUUGUUCAGUAACUGCAGUGGUAGGAGAGCGUCGAAUACGGGGUGAAGUCAGAGCGGAAGCGCUGGUGGACUGUAUUCGAGUGAGAAUGCCGGAAUGAGUAGCGAGAAUUAUGUGAGAAUCAUAAUGGCCGAAAGUCUAAGGUUUUGGAAGGAAGGUUCGUCCGCUUCCAGUAAGCCGGGAGCUAAGGUGAGGCCGAAAGGCGUAGCCGAUGCACAUACGGUUGAAAUUCCGUAGCCUCCGAAGUAUUUAAACAGAAGGACACUUGAGAAGUGAUGAUGCCGGGCGAUGGUUGACCCGGUCGUAAGGGACCGAAAUUUAGUAGGGAAGUCAUCAUGGAUCGAGGCGAGAAAAGUUCUGUGAAUAUACAAGGAGCCCGUACCGCAAACCGACACAGGUAGAUAGGAAGAAAAUUCUAAGGCCAACGGGAGAAGGGUUGUUAAGGAACUCGGCAAGUUGACCCCGUAACUUCGGAAUAAGGGGUGCUCAGGAAACUGAGCCGCAGAGAAUAGGUCCAGGCGACUGUUUAGCAAAAACACAGCUCUAUGCUAAAUCGAAAGAUGAUGUAUAUGGGGUGACACCUGCCCGGUGCCGGAAGGUUAAGAGGAGGCGUGAGAGCGCUGAAUUGAAGCCCCGGUAAACGGCGGCCGUAACUAUAACGGUCCUAAGGUAGCGAAAUUCCUUGUCAGGUAAGUUCUGACCCGCACGAAUGGUGUAACGAUCUGGGCACUGUCUCAACAACCCGCCCGGCGAAAUUGUAGUACCGGUGAAGAUGCCGGUUACCCGCGACUAGACGGAAAGACCCCAUGGAGCUUUACUGCAGCUUAAUGUUGAAUUUCGGUAUUUCAUGUACAGGAUAGGUGGGAGACUGGGAACUACAGGCGUCAGCUUGUGGGGAGUCACUGUUGGGAUACCACUCUUGAAGUGCUGGAAUUCUAACCUGCGGCCUUGAAUCAGGUCGGGGGACAUCGUUAGGCGGGCAGUUUGACUGGGGCGGUCGCCUCCAAAAGAGUAACGGAGGCGCUCAAAGGUCAGCUCAGCAUGGAUGGAAACCAUGCAAGUGAGUGCAAACGCAAAAGCUGGCCUAACUGCGAGACUGACGGGUCGAGCAGUAACGAAAGUUGGAGUUAGUGAUCCGGCGGUAUGUGAGUGGAAAUGCCGUCGCUCAACGGAUAAAAGCUACCCUGGGGAUAACAGGCUGAUCUCCCCCAAGAGUCCACAUCGACGGGGAGGUUUGGCACCUCGAUGUCGGCUCAUCGCAUCCUGGGGCUGAAUUCGGUCCCAAGGGUUUGGCUGUUCGCCAAUUAAAGCGGUACGCGAGCUGGGUUCAGAACGUCGUGAGACAGUUCGGUCCCUAUCUGUCGUGGGCGCAGGAUAUUUGAAAGGAGCUGUCCCUAGUACGAGAGGACCGGGAUGGACGCACCUCUGGUGCACCGGUUGUCGUGCCAACGGCACAGCCGGGCAGCUAAGUGCGGAACGGAUAAACGCUGAAGGCAUCUAAGCGUGAAACCGCCCUUAAGAUAAGAUAUCCCAUCGAAAGAGUAAGACCCCUCAAAGACUAUGAGGUUGAUAGGCCUAUGGUGUAAGCAUGGUGACAUGUUCAGCCUGCAGGUACUAAUCGGUCGAGGGCUUGACCUU
rnacentral:rRNA from 1 species